rnacentral:lncRNA from 1 species
CGAGUGUGCAAGGCGAUCCGGGCGUGCCGGGGGGCGCGGGUGGGCUCCGGGGCGCGCGCCGGGGCGUGCGGCGGGAGCUGAGUGUGCAACGGGACGUGGACAGCGGGCGCCGGGACGUGGACGUGGGCAUCCGCUGGGACACGAGCGUGCAACGGGAGCUGAGUGUGCAACAGGAGAUGGACAUGGGAGCCCGGCGGGAUCUGAGCGUGCCGCGGAAGCUGAGCGUGCAACGGGAGCUGGAGGCGCAGAGGAGGCUGAGCGUGCAACAGGAGCUGAGCGUGCAACGGGAGGUGGAGAUCCAGAGGAAGCUGAGUGUGCAACAGGAGCUGAGCGUGCGGCGGCAGCUGGAGCUGGGCGUGCAAUGGGAGCCGAGUGUGCAACGGGAGCCGGGCGUGCAAUGGGAGCCGAGUGUGCAACGGGAGCUGGGCGUGCAAUGGGAGCCGAGUGUGCAACGGGAGAUGAGCGUGCAACGGGAGCCGGGCGUGCAAUGGGAGCCGGGUGUGCAACGGGAGGCGGAGCUGAGCGUGCAACGGGAGAUGAGCGUGCAACAGGAGCCGGGCGUGCAAUGGGAGCCGAGUGUGCCGCAGGACAUGGAGCUGAGCGUGCAACGGGAGCUGAGCGUGCAACAGGAGCCGGGCGUGCAAUGGCAGCCGAGUGUGCAACGGGAGGCGGAGCUGAGCGUGCAAGCGGCCCCGAGCGUGCGGUGGGACGUGGAGAUGGGCGUGCAAGCGGAGCUGAGCGUGCAAGGGCAGGACGUGAGCGUGCAGUGGGAGCCGGGCGUGCAAGGGGAGCUGCUGAGCGUGCAAGAGGCGGCGGGCGUGCAAGGGGAGGCGAAGGCGCCGCAGGAGCCGGGCGUGCAAGAGGCGCCGGGCGUGCAACGGGAGCCCCUGAGUGUGCAAGGGGAGGCGGGGGUGUGAGCGGGCGUGCAAAGGCGCGGGCGUGGGGCUGAGCGCUGCCCGCACCCCGGGGCACGCGCGUGUGCAAGGUGGCGUCGCUGCCCCAACCCCCCUUCCUUGUGCCCCCCUUGCACACUCGCAGGGUCAGCGCCUUGAACGCUCACGGCUUGGCCUUGCACGCCCACGCGUGUGUGCUCGGCCCUCUCCUUGCACACUCGUUACACGCUCGGUCUUCUCUUGGCACACCUGUCACACACUCAGCGCCCCUCCUUGCACACCCGUCACACACUCGGCCACACCCCCUUGCACACUCAUCACACACUCAGCCACACC